rnacentral:rRNA from 1 species
UACGUAGGGGGCAAGCGUUGUCCGGAAUCAUUGGGCGUAAAGCGCGUGUAGGCGGUUCGGUAAGUCUGCUGUGAAAGUCCAGGGCUCAACCUCGAGACGUCGGCGGAAACCAUCUGGCUAGAGUCCGGAAGAGGAGAGUGGAAUUCCGUGGUGUAGCGGUGAAAUGCGCAGAUAUCAGGAAGAACACCCGUGGCGAAGGCGGCUCACUGGUCCGGUACUGACGCUGAGGUGCGAAAGCGUGGGGAGCAAACAGG